AAUUGACGGGGACCCGCACAAGCGGUGGAUGAUGUGGUUUAAUUCGAUGCAACGCGAAAAACCUUACCCACCUUUGACAUGUACGGAAGUCGCUAGAGAUAGCUUCGUGCUCGAAAGAGAACCGUAACACAGGUGCUGCAUGGCUGUCGUCAGCUCGUGUCGUGAGAUGUUGGGUUAAGUCCCGCAACGAGCGCAACCCUUGUCAUUAGUUGCUACAUUCAGUUGGGCACUCUAAUGAGACUGCCGGUGACAAACCGGAGGAAGGUGGGGAUGACGUCAAGUCCUCAUGGCCCUUAUAGGUGGGGCUACACACGUCAUACAAUGGCUGGUACAAAGGGUUGCCAACCCGCGAGGGGGAGCUAAUCCCAUAAAACCAGUCGUAGUCCGGAUCGCAGUCUGCAACUCGACUGCGUGAAGUCGGAAUCGCUAGUAAUCGUGGAUCAGAAUGUCACGGUGAAUACGUUCCCGGGUCUUGUACACACCGCCCGUCACACCAUGGGAGCGGGUCUCGCCAGAAGUAGUUAGCCUAACCGCAAGGAGGGCGAUUACCACGGCGGGGUUCGUGAUCUGGGGUGAAGUCGUAACAAGUAACAAUCG
rnacentral:rRNA from 1 species